rnacentral:rRNA from 1 species
AUACGGGGGGUGCAAGCGUUAAUCGGAAUUACUGGGCGUAAAGCGCGCGUAGGCGGUUUGCUCAGUCGGAUGUGAGAGCCCAGGGCUCAACCUUGGAACUGCAUACGAUACUGGCAAACUAGAGUGUGAGAGAGGAUAGUGGGAUUUCCGGUGUAGCGGUGAAAUGCGUAGAUAUCGGAAGGAACAUCAGUGGCGAAGGCGACUGUCUGGCUCAACACUGACGCUGAGGUGCGAAAGCGUGGGUAGCAAACAGGAUUAGAUACCCCAGUAGUCC